GAUGAACGCUGGCGGCGUGCCUAAUACAUGCAAGUCGAGCGAACAGAUAAGGAGCUUGCUCCUUUGACGUUAGCGGCGGACGGGUGAGUAACACGUGGGUAACCUACCUAUAAGACUGGAAUAACUCCGGGAAACCGGGGCUAAUGCAGGAUAACAUGUUGAACCGCAUGGUUCUAUAGUGAAAGGCGGCUUUGCUGUCACUUAUAGAUGGACCCGCGCCGUAUUAGCUAGUUGGUGAGGUAACGGCUCACCAAGGCAACGAUACGUAGCCGACCUGAGAGGGUGAUCGGCCACACUGGAACUGAGACACGGUCCAGACUCCUACGGGAGGCAGCAGUAGGGAAUCUUCCGCAAUGGGCGAAAGCCUGACGGAGCAACGCCGCGUGAGUGAUGAGGGUCUUCGGAUCGUAAAACUCUGUUAUUAGGGAAGAACAAAUGCGUAAGUAACUGUGCGCGUCUUGACGGUACCUAAUCAGAAAGCCACGGCUAACUACGUG
rnacentral:rRNA from 1 species